UACGAAGGGGGCGAGCGUUGUUCGGAUUUACUGGGCGUAAAGGGCGCGCAGGCGGCUCAUUUUGUCAGGCGUGAAAGCCCCGGGCUUAACCUGGGAACUGCGUUUGAUACGGAUGGGCUAGAGUUCGGGAGAGGAGAGUGGAAUUCCCAGUGUAGAGGUGAAAUUCGUAGAUAUCAGGUGGAACACCAGUGGCGAAGGCGGCUUUCUGGACGGUAACUGACGCUGAGACGCGAAAGCGUGGGGAGCAAACAGG
rnacentral:rRNA from 1 species